UAGCUGGCUUUUCGAAGCAUGUGCUCGCCCGUCAUCUUUAUCUCUCCACCUGUGCACAUUUUGUAGUCUUUCGAUAUCUCUCGAGGCAACUCGGAUUUUAGAAUCGUCGUGCUGUACAAGUCGGCUUUUCUUUCCUUUCCAAGACUAUGUUUUUAUAUAUACACCAAAGUAUGUUUAAAGAAUGUCAUCAAUAGGAACUUGUUUCCUAUAAAAUCAUACAACUUUCAGCAACGGAUCUCUUGGCUCUCGCAUCGAUGAAGAACGCAGCGAAAUGCGAUAAGUAAUGUGAAUUGCAGAAUUCAGUGAAUCAUCGAAUCUUUGAACGCACCUUGCGCUCCUUGGUAUUCCGAGGAGCAUGCCUGUUUGAGUGUCAUUAAAUUCUCAACCUUCCAACUUUUAUUAGCUUGGUUAGGCUUGGAUGUGGGGGUUGUGGGCUUCAUUAAUGAGGUCGACUCUCCUUAAAUGCAUUAGCGGAACUUUUGUGGACCGUCUAUUGGUGUGAUAAUUAUCUACGCCGUGGAUGUGAAGCAACUUUAUGAAGUUCAGCUUCUAUAGCUGGCUUUUCGAAGCAUGUGCUCGCCCGUCAUCUUUAUCUCUCCACCUGUGCACAUUUUGUAGUCUUUCGAUAUCUCUCGAGGCAACUCGGAUUUUAGAAUCGUCGUGCUGUACAAGUCGGCUUUUCUUUCCUUUCCAAGACUAUGUUUUUAUAUAUACACCAAAGUAUGUUUAAAGAAUGUCAUCAAUAGGAACUUGUUUCCUAUAAAAUCAUACAACUUUCAGCAACGGAUCUCUUGGCUCUCGCAUCGAUGAAGAACGCAGCGAAAUGCGAUAAGUAAUGUGAAUUGCAGAAUUCAGUGAAUCAUCGAAUCUUUGAACGCACCUUGCGCUCCUUGGUAUUCCGAGGAGCAUGCCUGUUUGAGUGUCAUUAAAUUCUCAACCUUCCAACUUUUAUUAGCUUGGUUAGGCUUGGAUGUGGGGGUUGUGGGCUUCAUUAAUGAGGUCGACUCUCCUUAAAUGCAUUAGCGGAACUUUUGUGGACCGUCUAUUGGUGUGAUAAUUAUCUACGCCGUGGAUGUGAAGCAACUUUAUGAAGUUCAGCUUCUA
rnacentral:rRNA from 1 species